CCUACGGGAGGCAGCAGUGAGGAAUAUUGGUCAAUGGACGGAAGUCUGAACCAGCCAUGCCGCGUGCAGGAAGACGGCUCUAUGAGUUGUAAACUGCUUUUGUACAAGGGUAAACCUGAAUGCGUGUAUUCAGCUGAAAGUACUGUACGAAUAAGGAUCGGCGAACUCCGUGCCAGCAGCCGCGGUAAUACGGAGGAGCCAAGCGUUAUCCGGAUUUAUUGGGUUUAAAGGGCUCGUAGGCGGUAUGUCAAGUCAAGAGUGAAAUCCCCGCGCUCAACGUGGGAACUGCCUUUGAAACUGGCAACCUUGAGUGUGUGAGAGGAUAGUGGAAUUCCAGGUGUAGGGGUGAAAUCCGUAGAUAUCUGGAGGAACAUCAGUGGCGAAGGCGACUAUCUGGCACAUAACUGACGCUGAGGAGCGAAAGCGUGGGUAGCAAACAGGAUUAGAUACCCGGGUAGUC
rnacentral:rRNA from 1 species